AGAGUUUGAUCCUGGCUCAGGAUGAACGCUAGCGGCGGGCUUAACACAUGCAAGUCGAGGGGCAGCAUGUCCAGCAAUGGAUGAUGGCGACCGGCGGAAGGGUGCGUAACGCGUGAGCAACAUGCCCUAUACAGGGAGAUACACCAGGGAAACUUGGUCUAAUAUCCCAUAGCAUUCAUUGAAGGCAUCUUUAAUGAAUUAAAGCUUCGGUGGUAUAGGAUUGGCUCGCGUGACAUUAGCCAGAUGGUGAGGUAACGGCUCACCAUAGCAAUGAUGUCUAGGGGUUUUGAGAGGAAGGCCCCCCACACUGGGACUGAGACACGGCCCAGACUCCUACGGGAGGCAGCAGUGAGGAAUAUUGGACAAUGGAUGGAAAUCUGAUCCAGCCAUGCCGCGUGCAGGAAGACGGCCUUAUGGGUUGUAAACUGCUUUUAUACGGGAGCAAUAAGGGUUACGAGUAAUCCGAUGAGAGUACUGUACGAAUAAGGAUCGGCUAACUCCGUGCCAGCAGCCGCGGUAAUACGGAGGAUCCGAGCGUUAUCCGGAAUUAUUGGGUUUAAAGGGUGCGUAGGCGGCCAUUUAAGUCAGCGGUGAAAUUUUGCAGCUUAACUGUAACAGUGCCGUUGAUACUGUUUGGCUAGGAUUUGGUUGUAGUGUGCGGAAUGUGUGGUGUAGCGGUGAAAUGCUUAGAUAUCACACAGAACACCGAUUGCGAAGGCAGCACACUAAGUCAUUAUUGACGCUGAGGCACGAAAGUGUGGGGAUCAAACAGGAUUAGAUACCCUGGUAGUCACACUGUAAACGAUGAUAACUCGCUGUCGGCGAUACACAGUCGGUGGGCAAGCGAAAGCAUAGUUUAUCCACCUGGGGAGUACCACCGCAAAGGUGAAACUCAAAGGGAAAUGACGGGGGCCCGCCCAACCGGAGGAACAUGUUGUUUAAUUUCAUGAUACCCGAAGGAACUUACCCGGGGCUCCAACGGGGGUUGAAUAUUCCA
rnacentral:rRNA from 1 species